CCUCGGUCAUAUGACACAUUAAAAUCUCCCCCCAUAAACACCUGUCUGUUUGUCAUAAAAAUAGCGUCUAGGUCGUUAAGCAUUUCCCUCCUUUCCUUGGGUGUCGAUGGUGCAUAUACGUUAAUAAAUAGAAAACAUUUACCCCUCCAAUCGAUAUCUACUAUUAAAACCAGUCUAAUGUAACGUUAGCGUCCUCUCCUUUAGCUGUUGUCUUUUACAUUUUUCUGCAAGAAUAUCAUCCAAAAUCUGUAUACUUGGACUUGAUUGAGCUUUUCCAGUAUUAGUAGCCAUAUCGUAAGUUCAACAUUUGCAAAACACCCAGUUUUCAUAACUUCAUAACUCACAGAUCUGCGUAACGCGUAACGCGACAGAAAUUGUGCGACAGAUACAGGGUUUCCGCAUACUACCGUAAAGCCCAGCUCAUUGGCUAUCAAGCCCGAUUGGUGCUCAUUUCACAACGUUACAGUCAAUUAAGUAAAAUGACAGAUUUUUUACGGAAUGUCUACAUAGGCCUACAGAUGCCCAUUAUCAGCAACUAUCACUCCUGUGUUCCAGUGUCACGUUGUGUUAGCUACUCCAGGUUUAUAAUUUGAAAAGGCUAAUUGAUCUUUAGAAAACCCUUUUGCAAUUAUGUUAACACAGCCGAAAACUGUUGUUCUGAUUAAAGAAGCAAUAAAACUGUCCUUCAGACUAGUUGAGUAUCUGGAGCAUUAGCAUUUGUGGGUUCGAUUACAGGCUCAAAAUGGCUAGAAACAAAUAACUUUCUUCUGAAACAUGUCACUCUAUUCUUGUUCUGAGAAAUUAAGGCUAUUCCAUGUGAGAAAUUGCCAAGAAACUGAAGAUCUCGUACAACGAUCUCGUACUACUACCUUCACAGAACAGUGCAAACUGGCUCUAACCAUAAUAGAAAGAGGAGUGGGAGGCCCCGGUACACAACUGAGCAAGAGGACACGUACAUUAGUGUCUAGUUUGAGAAACAGACGCCUCACAAGUCCUCAACUGGCAGCUUUAUUAAAUAGUACCUGCAAAACACCAGUCUCAAUGUCAACAGUGAAGAGGCGACUCUGGUAUGCUGGCCUUCUAGGCAGAGUUGCAAAGAAAAAGCCAUAUCUCAGACUGGCCAAUAAAAGAUUAAGAUGGGCAAAAUAACACAGACACUGGACAGAGGAACUCUGCCUAGAAGGCCAGCAUCCCAGAGUCGCCUCUUCACUGUUUAGACUGAUGUUUUGCGGGUACUAUUUAAUGAAGCUGCCAGUUGAGGACGUGAGGCGUCUGUUGACCUGGACUCAAACAAGGUUCAGAAUGUCCAUUUUCAUCUCACAUGAUUUUACAUACAUGUUUCAACGUUUACCAUUCCAAUAGCCCCUUGGUAAUGUGACCUACUGACCUCAAACUACUUUCAGAAUGUCGGUUCCGGCGGCGUCCGGUGAGCUCUCGCUGGCCCUUGAAAAUCCAGGGGAGAGGGUGUAAAUCUCACGCCGGGCCGUACGCAUAUCCGCAGCAGGUCUCCAAGGUGAACAGCCUCUGGCAUGUUAUAACAAUGUAGGUAAGGGAAGUUGGCAAAAAAGACCCCUUCGUCCAGAGUUGCCGCCACCAACUGCCGGAACCACACACACCACCCCCUUCGUCGGGGUGGUGGUUCCGGCAGUUGGUGGCGGCAACUCUGGACGUGCGCCGGACUCUUCUCGUAGAUCUCCCCAGCUACGGCGCUCGCCUGCCCCAUACAUUGUAGGUGGGGAGGUCUCCUCUACGCUCACUAGACUUGAGGCGGAGACUAAACCCAUUGGCCCCACAGUGAUAGGGCAUUGCAUGGAUCUGGCUCAUGCCCUUCGAAGUGGGGAGAGGUUUCUGUCCCGGAGGGCUGACUGAGCAAGCAAAUGAUUGAAAGGGGAUGAUUAUUUUCUGUUGCUUCUUCCGACACCCGGUCGAUGGUGCCACUAGAUACUGCGAUAGGUAUUUGGUUCUCAAGUCUAUAAGUAUUGCMCUGGCACUUGAUGUCGAUUGGGUGUAAAAACUCAGUUAAAGUCCCCUGAAGGUUAGUAGCGGCAACUGAUGUCCAGUUUGUAAAACAGAAAAGCCUCUGAUGAUACCACAGAGCGUGACUCGAAUGGUUGUCAAUUUGAUGAUAUCUGAUCGUAGCAUUCUACCCUUCGCGGUCGCAGUCAAACCACCUUCGGGGUGGCUGUGACCCCCUCAUGUCAAAGUGAGGAAAUUUGAUAAAGCGGGGGUAAACAGCGGGACAUAAUUAAGAGUCUCUUGAGGUAGCCAAAUGCCUUGUCAUCUAAUUAGUGACGUACAUGACUGGAUGAACGAGAUUCCCACUGUUCCUACCUACUAUCUAUUGAAACCACAGCCAAGGGAAUGGGCUUGACGGAAUCAGCGGGGAAAGAAGACCCUGUUGAACUUGACUCUAGUCUGGCACUGUGAAGAGACAUGAGAGGUGUAGAAUAAGUGGGAGGCCUCGGCCACCGCUGAAAUACCACUACUCUUAUCGUUUUUCACCUACCCGGUAAGGCGGGGAGGCGAGCCCCGGGUGCGACCCGCUCUGGGGACAGUGGCAGGUGAGAAGUUUGACUGGGGCGGUACACCUGUCAAACGGUAACGCAGGUGUCCUAAGGCAAGCUUAGGGAGGACAGGAACUUCCCGUGGAGCAGAAGGGCAAAAGCUCGCUUGAUCUUGAUUUUCAGUAUGAAUACAGACCGUGAAAGCGGGGCCUCACGAUCCCUCUGAAUUUAUGGCUUUUAAGCAGGUGGUGUCAGAAAAGUUACCACAGCAAUAACUGGCUUGUGGGGGCCAUGCAUUCAUAGCGAUGUCACUUUUUGAUCUUUUGAUGUCGGCUCUUCUUAUCAUUGUGAAUCAGAAUUCAUCAAGCGUUGGAUUGUUCACCCACUAAUAAGGAACGUGAGCUGGAUUUAGACCACUGUGAGACAGGUUAAUUUUACCCUACUGAUGAUGUGUUGUUGCAAUAGUAAUCCUGCUCAGUACAAGAGGAACUGCAGGUUCAGACAUUUGGUGUAUUUGCUUGGCUGAGGAGCCAAUGGUGCGAAGCUACCAUCUGUGGGAUUAUGACUGAACACAUCUAAGACCGAAUCCCCCCUAAAUGUAACGAUACCAUAGCGCCGUGGAUCUUCGGUUGGCCCGGGAUAGCCUGCCUCUUUUGGCAGGUGAGUAGAUCCGUUUGUGACGGGGUUGGGGUGCGGCCGGAGGAGUUGCUGCCCCUCUCCUGAUGCGCACAGCAUGUUUGUGGGGAACCUGGUGCUAAAUCACUUGUAGAUUACCUGAUUCUGGGUCAGGGUUUCGUACGUAGCAGAGCAGCUCAC
rnacentral:rRNA from 1 species